GUGCCYAAUACAUGCAAGUCGAGCGGACUGAUGGGRGCUUGSUCCCUGAAGUCAGCGGCGGACGGGUGAGUAACACGUGGGUAACCUGCCUGUAAGACUGGGAUAACUCCGGGAAACCGGGGCUAAUACCGGAUAGUUCUUUUCCUCCCAUGAGGAAAAGUGGAAAGGCGGCUUCGGCUGCCACUUACAGAUGGACCCGCGGCGCAUUAGCUAGUUGGUGAGGUAACGGCUCACCAAGGCAACGAUGCGUAGCCGACCUGAGAGGGUGAUCGGCCACACUGGGACUGAGACACGGCCCAGACUCCUACGGGAGGCAGCAGUAGGGAAUCUUCCGCAAUGGACGAAAGUCUGACGGANCAACGCCGCGUGAGUGAUGAAGGUUUUCGGAUCGUAAAGCUCUGUUGUUAGGGAAGAACAAGUGCCGUUCGAAUAGGGCGGCNCCUUGACGGUACCUAACCAGAAAGCCACGGCUAACUACGUGCCAGCAGCCGCGGUAAUACGUAGGUGGCAAGCGUUGUCCGGAAUUAUUGGGCGUAAAGCGCGCGCAGGCGGUCUCUUAAGUCUGAUGUGAAAGCCCACGGCUCAACCGUGGAGGGUCAUUGGAAACUGGGGGACUUGAGUACAGAAGAGAAAGUGGAAUUCCACGUGUAGCGGUGAAAUGCGUAGAUAUGUGGAGGAACACCAGUGGCGAAGCGACUUUCUGGUCUGUAACUGACGCUGAGCGCGAAGCGUG
rnacentral:rRNA from 1 species